GCACAACUAGCACAGUGGUAGAGCAAUUGAAUCCAGAUCAAUAUUUAUCCGGUUCGAACCCGGUUGUUUA
rnacentral:tRNA from 1 species